rnacentral:lncRNA from 1 species
CAAAAUCCGGGUCCGGUUCCGGGUUCGGCCUUCCCGGUUCCGGACCCGGAUGUCAUUUUCUUUUUAUCGGACCCGCAUAUAACCCGGAUUUUUUACAUGCGGGUCCGGUCCGGGUUCAACCCGGAAAAAUUAAGGGUUCCGGAUUCUGGGUUUGAAACCCAGAUUGUCUUUUGAAUUAUGAUUAAAAAAUGAAAAAAAAAUUGGAAACUACAAUUCAAUCACAAAUUAAAACCGAUUAACCUUUUUUUUCCGUGAAAUUCAGGCAGGUACACAAGAUAGAUCUUAAUAUGAAGGCGUUGCAAAUACUACCAACAAAAUUCAAUAAAUUAAUAACCUAAUAUAGGAAGUGGAUGCACGAAAAUUACAAUUAAUUUUGAAUUGUAAUGGCAUCAAAGACCGUGGCCCACCCAAAUCCACCAUGCAAUGCCAUCAAAGACAUCCCCCACCAUGGAAUAUGACAAACGAGAAGCACAGCCGGGCUUAGAGGUGGAAGCUAAUCCAGGCGAUUUUGCAACACUUGAACGAUUGAGAAGGAAUGGUGGUCGCAGCAGUGCAGAGAAGAGGAACACAGCAACUGAUGAUGAUAAUGAACACAGAGAAGAGAAAAUGGCCGAAGUGAUGACGACGACGACUUGAUUUGAUGAAGAGAAAAGGAAAUAUGGUUGGCGGCCGGCGGAUGUGAGAUUUGAGAAGAGGAAUGCGAAUUGCAAAAUUAGGGCCGGCUGUGCGCAUUAUUAUUUCCUUCCUUUCUUGUCUAUUUAUAUUAAAAACUAUUAAAAAUUUAAUAUUAAAAUAAAAGAUAUCCGGGUCCGGGUUUCGGAUAUGCGGGUUCACCUAAACCCUGACCCAGACCGGAUAUCAUCCGGGUUCAUAAAAUCAAAUCCGGAUCCGCAUUUUAUAUAACUGCAAUACGGGUUCAACCCGGACCG